UUACCAUGUAGUUCGAAUCCUUUAUCAUGAGUCCUGACAUGACGCAGGUCAAGGAUAAUUCAUCAAAUCUGUUCAUUCGUCAUAUGUCAGAUUCAAUCAACUCGAGUCCAUGUAAAAUUUUAUGAAAACUUUUUUUCAUCAUUUACCUAUCAUGGUCAUGAAUUUUAGGACUUAGUCUCAUGAACUGCAUAGAAUCUCUCCCUCUCUACCAGAGUCGACAGAUCCUAUCUUGAUGCAUACUUUAUUCUUACAAUAGACUUACUAUAGCUAACAUACAUUACAAGAUUCUGAAUGGCUAAGUAAUCAAGUAAUCGUACAGUCAAACUACACCAACUCCACUAUGAAUAGUCGAGGUACUGCAGGUUAAAGAACUACCUAUAUAACUGCAACUUUGAGUAAGUCACUGAUGAGUGGGUAGCUAUCCUAGUGACUUCUCACAUUGAUCAUGCUCAGUAUCCUUGAUCUCUAUCAAACAUCUGCAUUCUCACUCUAAUAUCUCCACACUGUAAACUCAAGACUUGUCUAC
rnacentral:lncRNA from 1 species